CCUACGGGUGGCUGCAGUCGAGAAUCAUUCACAAUGGGGGAAACCCUGAUGGUGCGACGCCGCGUGGGGGAAUGAAGGUCUUCGGAUUGUAAACCCCUGUCAUGUGGGAGCAAAUUAAAAAGAUAGUACCACAAGAGGAAGAGACGGCUAACUCUGUGCCAGCAGCCGCGGUAAUACAGAGGUCUCAAGCGUUGUUCGGAAUCACUGGGCGUAAGGGGUGCGUGGGCGGUUUCGUAAGUCUGUUGUGAAAGGCCCGGGCUCAACCCGCGGAGGGCACAUGAUACUGGGAGACUAGAGUAAGGGAGGGGUAAGCGGAAUUCGCGGUGUAGCAGUGAAAUGCUUAGAUAUCGAGAGGAACACUCGUGGCGAAGGCAGGUUCCUGGACAUUAACUGACGCUGAGGCACGAAGGCCAGGGGAGCGAAAGGGAUUAGAUACCCGAGUAGUC
rnacentral:rRNA from 1 species